UAGAGUUUGAUCCUGGCUCAGGAUGAACGCUAGCUACAGGCUUAACACAUGCAAGUCGAGGGGAAACGACAUCGAAAGCUUGCUUCCGAUAGGCGUCGACCGGCGCACGGGUGAGUAACGCGUAUCCAACCUGCCCACCACUUGGGGAUAACCUUGCGAAAGUAAGACUAAUACCCAAUGAUAUCUCUAGAAGACAUCUGAAAGGGAUUAAAGAUUUAUCGGUGAUGGAUGGGGAUGCGUCUGAUUAGCUUGUUGGCGGGGUAACGGCCCACCAAGGCGACGAUCAGUAGGGGUUCUGAGAGGAAGGUCCCCCACAUUGGAACUGAGACACGGUCCAAACUCCUACGGGAGGCAGCAGUGAGGAAUAUUGGUCAAUGGGCGAGAGCCUGAACCAGCCAAGUAGCGUGCAGGAUGACGGCCCUAUGGGUUGUAAACUGCUUUUAUAAGGGAAUAAAGUGAGCCUCGUGAGGCUUUUUGCAUGUACCUUAUGAAUAAGGACCGGCUAAUUCCGUGCCAGCAGCCGCGGUAAUACGGAAGGUCCGGGCGUUAUCCGGAUUUAUUGGGUUUAAAGGGAGCGUAGGCCGGAGAUUAAGCGUGUUGUGAAAUGUAGAUGCUCAACAUCUGCACUGCAGCGCGAACUGGUUUCCUUGAGUACGCACAAAGUGGGCGGAAUUCGUGGUGUAGCGGUGAAAUGCUUAGAUAUCACGAAGAACUCCGAUUGCGAAAGGCAGCUCACUGGAGCGCAACUGACGCUGAAGCUCGAAAGUGCGGGUAUCGAACAGGAUUAGAUACCCUGGUAGUCCGCACGGUAAACGAUGGAUGCCCGCUGUUGGUCUGAAUAGGUCAGCGGCCAAGCGAAAGCAUUAAGCAUCCCACCUGGGGAGUACGCCGGCAACGGUGA
rnacentral:rRNA from 1 species